rnacentral:misc_RNA from 1 species
GUUUGACACAAAGAAUGUAAACAAGUAUUGUUUUUAACUCGGCACAUAAUAUUAAGCAUUUACUUUAUUUGUGUGGCGUAACUAGUUUGACGCUCGACAACUACAGCGUUCAAAGAUAAACAAAAAAGAACGGUCGGCUAUCAUGGACGACGAGGUAGAUCCGUCGUGCGCUCCGGUUUAUUACACUGCAACUGCGGGGCAGGUUCCAUGCGGUGGCGGAUCGUCCACCAAUGGUGGCGGGGAUGCUAGCUGCCGGCAGCAACCACCUCACACUUCCUUGCCUCAACAUCAAGAAGAUUAUUCAUCGUUUGACAUCGUCAAGGCUACACAAUAUGGAAUCUUCGAGAGGUGCCGCUACCUGAUUGAGGUAGAAGGCUACAACGUGAACCAGCCUGAUGCGGAGGAUGUCACAUUGCUGCACUGGGCAGCCAUCAACAACCGCCGUGAGAUUGUCAACUUCUACAUUUCGAAGGGAGCUGUGGUGGAUGCCAUAGGUGGAGAACUGCGCUCCACGCCGUUGCAUUGGGCCACUCGGCAGGGCCACUUGGGCAUGGUGGUGCUGCUCAUGCGCCACGGUGCAGACCCGUCCCUGGUGGACGGUGAAGGCUGCACCUGCAUCCACUUGGGUGCCCAGUCGGGCCACACGGCCAUCGUGGCCUACCUGGUGGCCAAGGGGCAGCCAGUCAACCAGGCCGACAGCAACGGCAUGACUCCCCUCAUGUGGUCCGCCUACAGGGUGAUGACGAACGACCCGUCCCGCUUGCUCAUCACACUGGGUGCGAGCCUCACCAUGUGCGACACCUACCACAGGAACACACCCUUGCACUGGGCUGUGUAUGUGCGCAAUAGCAGUGCGGUGUCGUUGCUCAUCAAGGCCGGCUCUGAUCUCUCUGCCAGGAAUGCCCAGGGUGACACUCCCCGCAUGAUGGCUGAGAAGCUGAAGUCUGUCUGGAUAGAAGAGCGCCUCUUGGAGGCGGAAGCAGCUCAAACAAGUGCUCGAGGUCAUUUCCUGGUGCGCAUUGUUCGAGACAAGACUCUAAAGUAUUGGGCCAUGUUCACCUCUCCAUUUGUAGCCUUCUAUGCUGUUGGCCUCGUCUUCGAUAGCCAAGAGACCUAUCUAGUCAAGUUUGGUCUUCUAUUUAUUAUGGGCCUAGCCACCAUGUUCCUUUCCAAAUGUUUAUUUGAUGAACGCACUAUGAAUGUUCUCCCGAUGGCUGUGUACCUGGCUACUAAAUUCUGGAUGUAUAUCACGUGGAUGACAGACCUGUGGCCUUAUGUUGGCACCCUUUGGGUCAAUGUGGGCUUUGUGAUCUCAUCUGUGCCACUGUUCUACUCUUUCUACAAGUCGUGGCGGGCAGAUCCAGGCAUCAUCAUCGCCAACGUGGAACAAAAGUACAGGACGAUAGUGGAGCUGGCCGAGCGAGAUGGCUUCGACCCGGCCGUGUUCUGCAGCACCUGCCUUGUGCGUCGGCCACUACGCUCCAAGCAUUGUUCUGUGUGCAACCACUGUGUGGCUCGCUUCGACCACCACUGCCCUUGGGUCAACAACUGUGUUGGGGCUGGGAACCAUGUUUACUUUGUCAACUAUUUAAUUUUCCUUCUGGGCAUGCUAGGCUGGUCAUGGUACGGCUGCUUUGCAUUCUGGAAGGAGCACACACUCUGGGCUGCCCUGUCCCAGAGUGGUUGGGUGGCCUGGAUAGCAUUCAACACGCUCCUGCACAGCGCUUGGGUCAGCUGCCUGCUCGUCUGCCAGCUGUACCAGAUGGUGUGGUUAGCCAUGACCACCAAUGAACGCAUGAACUGCAACCGGUAUCCACACUUCAGGCGGAGCAGUUCGGGACGUGUAAUUAGCCCAUUCAACAUGGGACCAUUCAAGAACUUGGCUGACUUUUGUGAAUGGCGCUGCCUGGGAGCAAAACCUCAGGACUGGAGACACAUCUACGACACUAAUGAGGAUGAUGAUGAAAAGGAAACACUGCUUCAUUAUGUGUAAUGAACGAGUCAGCUCAGCCUUGUCAAAAACUUCCUGUAUUUCACCUGCACAAAAGUUUCUGCUGCUUAUGGCCCACUCAUAUCUGCCAGAAGGGACAACUCUUGAAAAAGGAGAGCAAGAUGGUGGCAUUGUUUAGGCAUCUGUGAUCAAAGCUGCAAUGAAACCUGGAAGGACUCUACCAGUGUGUGUGACCCUGUGCCUCACCGACAAGGUUUUGGUGGUGUGGACAAAAACAAGCUUCGUCUUUGCGUUCAAAUGUGAUCAGCAGCAUUUUGGAUUUUGCCUGUGGCUUCCUUCUUUGUAGGGCUGAGCUGGACUUUGUUUUCUGUUUCUAAGCACAUCUUUGUUAAAUUUAAGACAUAUUCAAGGAAAUUGAGCAAAGUUGGCAUUGUCAACGUGUGGAAAAAAAGUUUUGAUGGUUGUAUAGCAGUUUCAUUGUGUAUAUAGUAGAGCAAAAGGUGCAGCUUCAUUUUUCAAUAUUGCUUGUUGGAUAGUUGGAGGGUUAUCAUUGUGUGAAAGUAUAUGUGCUUGUCAUCACUGGCAACAGCCUGGUGCUUUCAUUUGGCCUCGCUUUAUCAAAGGAAAAGUUUCAUGUUUAUUUGAGAAUGAGUAUUCUAUUGAUAGCUAUGUUAAACUAUGCAAUGAAGGGUGAAAUGAUUGACCACUUUGUUGUUGUGAGAGAAGCUGUUUAUAUUGUUUCAUGUGGUGUUUUUCAAAAUAUGUUUUCUCAUUUUUAGUGACCCGAUUCUGCGAGAAAUUGGCAAGAUUCUGGCACAUUCCUUACUGUAGCUCACAAUGUGGUAGUGUAUUAACGUGAACAUAAUGAAAGCAUUUAUAAAUAUGCCUAAUUAGCAUACUUGUAUCGAGCUGAACCAAUCGUGGUCCUUGAGAUAUGUGAGUGCAAGCACUUCCUUCAUUUUAGCACAGUGCAACUCAGAUGGGCCCCCUGACCGUUGAAAACAGGCAAGCACAGUGACGAUCGUAAGUGUUGCACCAUAAAUGUAGCUGAAAUGAGAGAACAACAGCAGCUCUCUCUUCUCGGCAUGCCAGUGACGUGACAUGUCACGAACCUGCGGUGCACAAAUAAGCCAGCAGUACCGAAACUUGUCAUAGAGCACUCUCUCUGUACGAAGGAAAACACAUGGUCAGUAUGGGAAAAGGCAAUGGGUAGUUCGCAUCUCGUCUAGUGCUAACCUCUUGUGCUGGAAUAGUGCACGGAUGGCACUUGAUAAAAAUGAGCUCACAUCCUGCACCUUGGAAUCUUUUUCUGCAUGUAUCAUCCAGUGACCUUUCUCAUUUUAUAUUUUGUGCAAAAGUAUAUAAUACUGCAAUGCCUAAAGGUUGUUGUACAAAGUAUGUCAAAUUUAUGAAUACAAUUGUUGCUAUAUUGAGGGUUGGAUGAAACUUUUUUGGUGGGGAAAGAGCCAGACCAGAGUUUUUCUUGCUGCAACCCUCUUCACUGAGGUCUGUAAUGAUGUUUCUAUAACAACACGAGAUGGGUGAUGAGAUGGGU